UGCACUUUCCUUCACGAUGAACAAUAUCGCUGUCACGGCUCGAUUUUUUGAGUCAUGAUGAGUAGGUAAGCCAAUCCGUAACUCGAAACAAGAAGUAAUAGGUAUGAGGGCAGAAACUAAACAAGAGUAGGCAAAGUUUAAAAUAACAAUAUAAACAGGGAGAAGCAAACCAAAAUAUAUAUAUACAAUAAAAAUCUCUUUCAGAACCUGAAAGUCACUAGUAAAAAGCUACUAACAAAACGAGUACAAGUCCCAAAAGUGGAGCACAGAAACUGGGUCAUCUCGAAAGGCAAAAGACAAGUCUAUAUAUAUGGAUGGAGACUUAAAUUGUAUAAAACACCAUGUGCUCACCCCAUCUAAAACACCAUGUGCUCACCCUAUCUCCGGAUUAGACUGCUCCAAGCUCGAUAUUAAUGCUGGCCUCUGUUUCUCGGACCUGUAUCACGAGAGCAGAUGCAUAGCGUAGUAUGAGUACAAAAAAAUAGGUACCCAUUAGCCUCAUAGGCCGACUGAACUUUUUGAACUUGAAAAGUAAAGAUAAUAUAAAAAUAAGGAAUAACAAAAUUAAAGGUCAAUGAAAGUCUAAGUAAACAAUGGAAUGCACACGAGUGUAGAAAGAACUAACUAAAGUAUUCUAUAAGCUAACUACGCCCUCAUAACCCCAGAAGGUAUACUCGUGUGAAUGUUUAAAUAAACACCCGAACGGAUCCCAUAAGCCCGACGAGUACAUAUUAUAAUUACAACUAAAGAAAACUGCAUCUGAGAACCUAAGACCAGAGAAGACUAAACCAAAACCUCAACCCUAACUAGUAGAAUCUGACAGUAGGCCAGACCUCAAACCCGAUGUUGACUAGAAUUACUGAAUCACAAGUAUCAAGUAAGUAAGGUCGGACCUUUAACCGGAUGCUCUAUAUAAGUAUCUUGGUGAUCGUUUAAAUCGAAUGCUCUUCGAAAAUAUCAAUGAGGUCGAGGCUGGAGCUUGGAUCUGGAUGCCCGACAAAUGUGCCAAUGUACCUGCUGAAAGAGUCCCUCCCUCUAGUCUAGGACCGGUUGUUGCUGCCCUGGAAGCGUGCCCUAUUAUCGCUGCACCCUAUUAUCUCACCAAUAAUAAAUUUUGAAAUUUAAAAUAAAAUUAUUCCUAAAUAUAAAAUAUAUUAUACUUAUUA
rnacentral:lncRNA from 1 species